AGUCUAAGGUUGCUCCCACCAGACUAGGAGGACUGGAGAGUAGGGUUGGGGUCAAAGGGUAGCCUCCUGCAGGUCGCCUCCUCCUGUGGCUUUCCCGGACGUCGCGCUGGGACUUCCUGCCGACACCGCACUUCUUCCCAGACUCCCACCUGCGCCGCUGGGGGCUUGGGUCCAGAUUUCCAGGGUCUUUGAAGAUGUUAGUUCACUGUUUAUUCAUGUGGGUUCCUGUAAAUGUCUGCAGCCAAUCUGGAAGUGGAGCUGUAUUUGGAACUUUUUGAAUCUAAAUCAGUUUGGGAGAAGUGAGUCUUUUCAGAAUUUGACCUUUCAAUGAAUGUCUCAAAUUUGUUUACGUCAUCUUUAAUGUUUUCAAUACUGUCUUCAAAACAAUUUGGUAAGUUUAAAAUUUAUUCUUCCACAAUUUUGGUAAGUUUAAAAUUUAUUCUUCCAUAUGUUAUACCAUUGUUGCUCUUAUAAAUGGUAUUGACUUUUAAAUUUUAUUAUUUCUAUUCCUGAGUAUAAGUUGCAAGUUUAUCUUUAUUAAGAUAGUAAACAUUUUCAUUAAUUUAAAUAUAGAUCCUUUGAAAUUUUCCAUUUAGGUAAUCAUAUUAUAAAUAAUGACAGAUUUACUUCUACCUUUCUGGUCCUUAGGUUUUUAAAUAUCUUUUCCUAGCCUGCCUCACUUAAGAUUCCAGUAAAAUACUAAGUAGUGGAUACCAUUGUCAUCUUCCUGAUUUUAAACUCAUU
rnacentral:lncRNA from 10 species